GUACAAGUUAUGACCCAAGUUUGGAUCUAAGUGACAAGAUCGAUCAAACUAACCUCGAUUGUCCUAAAGGAGCAGCUUAACGAGACCUUCUCACACUAAUCCAGAACUCUUCUUCUCGAAAGAAUCACUAACCCUUCUCUUGAACAAGGUCUAUAACUUUCUUGCGAGGAAGAUGAUAUUAGAGAAAGAAGAUGGAGAUGAGAGGAAGGAAAAGAUGAGAGAGAUAUAAAAGAGGCUGAAUAAAAUAAAAUAAAUUCUCGAUUAAUUUGUGGAAAUGGCAAAGGCUGUGUACUGAUCACACAAUUAUUGUAAUUGAACCAUUUGAACCAAAAAUUGAUAAAUAGAUUAAACCAGAAUGAUAGAAAUAAACAAUGACCACGAAAAGCAUCGUUAUCCCACGUACGUGCUCAUUUGGGUUCUUAAUCUUUUUUUUAAUAAAUUUUAGUUGGAAAAGUGAAUUUAAGAGACUUAGUAAAGAGACGGGUAUAUUUAUGUGAUAUAUUACAAAUCUCUUAUUUAAGGAUUUUUUUUUAAAAAAAUUAAACAUUAAUUUAUUAAAUUUCAAAUUUAUUUAUUAAAAUUUUAAACAUAAUAUUUUAAACAUAGAUUUAAAGUACAAGUAGAAACACAGCAAAGAAACAAGAAGUUCAGAUGAUAAGAAAGAAUGUAAGAAAAACAUUUGUAUACAUAUGCAAAAACACCAAAGAAGGCAAAAAUAUUUUUCCAAAUAACCUGUCAUGAUAACUUGAUGAGUCACGUUGAUUCCCACAGCAAUCACAUCGGCACCACAUGUGAACACAAUAUCUGCAGCUUCUGGAUCACCAAAAAUUUACACAAAAAGAUAGUGGGGAUGAUAUAUAAACUAGUUCACUAGUGUGUAUGGAGAUCACAUGUUCGCAUUCAAGAACUUACAUUAGCUUCUGAUGCUGGAUUUACAUUUCCAUUUACUGCAAAUGCUCCACCAAAAAGAACAAUUUGUCCAACGUUUUUGAAAAACUCAGGAUCAAGCUGAACAUCCUGCACCAAGGUAAAUGAAGCCUUCAAAAUGAGAAAGUGAUCAAAGAUGGUGUCAUUCAGCAAUGGCGUACCUAAUUCUGAAAGCAGAUGGGUGGAUUCGUGGUGGCUUCCAAGUGAACUCCACUAGGAGAAGUCCUUAUCUGAGUGCCAUUUACUUGCAACUGCCAUUUACUUGCAACUGAUGCUAUCGCUUGAGCUCUAUGAGAUAUCUUCGUUGCUGCGUGCAUACAUAAAAUAAUCCCAACAACUUGGACCACCGCAGAGACCUGAAAACAUAAUCAUCCCAAGCUUUUAACAUCACCGUAUAACAAGAAACCAAAGAAGAAACUAAAGCUCGACUCACCGCGAAAUCACCACCGUUUAUAUACGUGAUACGUCCGCUAUACGCAGUGGUCUGGAAAAACGUGGUAAACUGGCUAAUAGUGUCGACUAGAAACUGUAGAAGCAGAAAGAUGCGGAACCUGUAGCUUAUCUUAGAGAGGUAAUGACGCAAACAUAUGUGCUCAUAGAUGAAAAGAGAGAUCUCAGACUCUCCGUCUAGGAGCUUUGCGUAAUCUUCGAAGUGAAUGACUUGCAAGUUGCAGACCAGAUGAAACAUGGCACUUGCGGCUAGAAAGAUUGUGCUUAAGUAAGUCCAUGACAAGAUUAUAGACAAGAGAAUCAAAACAGAGAGCCAUGGCUGGUCAUGAGGUACGUAUAGCAUCCUAAUAAUCUCUCGAACAGCUUUUAGUCCGAAACAGGGGAGUGACCAAAGUGCAAGCAGUCUCACAGAGUUCUGUAAUAAAGGAAAACACACAAAAAGGUUUCAGCUUUCAAUCCAAAACAGGGGAGAGAGACCAAAGUGCAAGCAGUCUCACAGAGUUCUCUAAUAAAGGAAAAACAUAAAAAAAGGUUUCAGCUUUCAAUCCAAAACAGGGGAGUGACAAAAGUACAAGCAAUCUAACAGAGUUCUGUAAUAAGGAAACACAUAAAAGGUUUCAGCUUUCCGACAACCCAUGAACUAUCACAGAGUUCUGUAAUAUGGAAAAACAAAAAAAAAGUUUCAACUUUCAUGCAACUAAUGAUCUGUCACAGAGAUUCUGAACCAAAGAUAGAAAGAAUCACCGAGAUUUACUGAAUAUACUGAGCCUUGAGCCGUCCCAUACGACCACUGAGCUGAUCAACAAAGAGAAACUUUCGAAUCCCAUGCUUUCUCAAGUUAUGAGAAACGCAAAGAAGAGAGACGACAGCUAAACACGCAUGCGAGACGACAAUGUUUAGCUCGAAGCUCUUGUACUGAUACCUCUCACAGUCUUUGCAAUGCCCUAGCUCCAACACUGUCAUCGAAAUCACCAACCCGAUGGUCAAGAACACGAUCCAAGACAAGACAAGGCUUUGUGUGGAAGAUUGGUUGAUGAUAUCUUGCAUAUUUGCAUUGUUUUAAGUUCCCAUUUUGUACAUAAUGAUCAUAUAGAUUAGGAAUUUAGCAUUUUUGGAAUCCACAUUGCAUUCAUAUGUCCUAAUCAGGUAAUAGAGUGUCCUAUGGAGUAAUUGGAAGUGUUUAGAAGCAUUAUGGCUCAAGAACAGAUGGAAAAUGAUGUUAGUUUGAGUUCAAGCGAGCACAACUCGGGUUGAGCCAACGCGGGUUCUCUUACCCGCGUCGAGGCAUCGAGAGGAACCAAUGAAGAGCUCCAACGCGGCUUGGAUCACGUGGACACCGCUACCCGCACGCACCGGGAGAAACGAAGCAUCGACGAUCUCACGCGGGUUCGGUGACGCGGGGUCGCAUACAACCAUAACUGUCAAGUACAAGUUAUGACCCAAGUUUGGAUCUAAGUGACAAGAUCGAUCAAACUAACCUCGAUUGUCCUAAAGGAGCAGCUUAACGAGACCUUCUCACACUAAUCCAGAACUCUUCUUCUCGAAAGAAUCACUAACCCUUCUCUUGAACAAGGUCUAUAACUUUCUUGCGAGGAAGAUGAUAUUAGAGAAAGAAGAUGGAGAUGAGAGGAAGGAAAAGAUGAGAGAGAUAUAAAAGAGGCUGAAUAAAAUAAAAUAAAUUCUCGAUUAAUUUGUGGAAAUGGCAAAGGCUGUGUACU
rnacentral:lncRNA from 1 species